UACGUAGGGGGCUAGCGUUGUCCGGAAUCAUUGGGCGUAAAGGGCGUGUAGGCGGCUCGGUAAGUCCGCUGUGAAAGUCCAGGGCUCAACCCUGGAAUGCCAGUGGAAACUGUCGAGCUAGAGUCCGGAAGAGGCGAGUGGAAUUCCUGGUGUAGCGGUGAAAUGCGCAGAUAUCAGGAGGAACACCAAUGGCGAAGGCAGCUCGCUGGGACGGUACUGACGCUGAGACGCGAAAGCGUGGGGAGCAAACAGG
rnacentral:rRNA from 1 species